UUGCCUCCCGCAGGGAAGUUUUUGUAUUUUUUUUUAUUCUUUCCUGCAAAAAUAAACUUUGAAACUUUGAAACUUUGAAGACGACAACGGACCUGCGAGGGCGCUAGCAAUGCAGGAGAGGGCACAAGCCAUGAAGCUGUGGCGCAAGCGUGCAUGGAGCACCUUGAACACAUCAGAGCGAACAAGGGGGUCAUCAAAAAAGAUAACAUUGGUUUCUUCGCUCUACGUACCGAUGCACCCCUCAGAGAGCUACCAGUGCACAUUGCACAAGAUGUAAUGCAUGCAGUAGAACUUAUGCUGUAUGAAGCAGAGGCAAAAUUGCAUCAGAGCAGUGAAGCAAAUUGAAGUGUUUAUAUAUAUAAAGUCAAUGACACCCACCUUUUUUUAUCUUGUGUUCACUUUUCUAGUCCUAACUUAAAGGGGUCAUGACUGGUCACUCAACAAUUGACGGUUGUCAGCAAAAAACAAAACUACAGAGUAAAAUGUGCUAGUACACGUGUGAAAAGGGGCCUUAAGAGAUUAUUUUAGUCAAAAAUAUGCCGUAGAAGUGCUCGGCUCCUAAAACUCAACCUACCACAAGUGACCGCCAUUUUGUCAUGGCGUGCGCGACGUCACAAGCCGAAGGAGCAGUGGCAAAUGGUAUACGCAUUGCACAUUCACGAAAUUAUUUGCUGCAAGUACCAACGCUACAUUGCUGACACAGUAGCCAUGUUUCGACCCCUGGAAGUCAUUUAGCUUUAGUGGAGAGUUCAACAAUGCAAAAAAAUUUGAUUGCAAACGCAGCUGAUGACAAAACACGACCGUCUGCCAGAAUGCACACUGUGCAGCAGCUUGUCGAGCAAGCGGUUCGUGAUGUCAUGGAUAGUGAGUGCAUCAGUAUUGCCCAACUGUCAGGCGACUAGCUCGUUUAUAAAAAUAUGCGAUUAAAAAUUAGCAGCUUGACCAAAUCGCUCGAAUUUCACCAGCUUGUAUGUGAACAUACAAGAAUCAGCUCAUGCAACACACAUUAUGGUUGAAAAUUGGGUGUCAUGACCCCUUUAAGGCCACUUAUUUCUGUGAUAAUUAUAGCGAUAACCGUGCAAUAACUCAAAUAUUUUAACAUGAAUUAUUUAUUUUUGUGUUUUCAUGGUUAUAUUUGGACAUGACAGUUUUCCCUGUAAUGUAUCUGUUGUGUCACGGGUGAUUUUUUUCUUCUUUGUUUAGCUUAAGAAGAUGCUAUGUACAUAAGUUCUGUAAGCAAUAAAAUGCAUUUACAACCCACC